rnacentral:rRNA from 1 species
CAGGCCUAACACAUGCAAGGUCGAGGGGCAGCACGAGUAGCAAUACUUGGUGGCGACCGGCGCACGGGUGCGUAACGCGUAUGCAACCUACCUUUAACUGGAGCAUAGCCCCGAGAAAUCGGGAUUAAUACUCCAUAACAACAAGAAGUGGCAUCACUUUUUAUUUAAAGCUUUGGCGGUUAAAGAUGGGCAUGCGUGACAUUAGUUUGUUGGUGAGGUAACGGCUCACCAAGACUACGAUGUCUAGGGGUUCUGAGAGGAUAGUCCCCCACACUGGUACUGAGACACGGACCAGACUCCUACGGGAGGCAGCAGUGAGGAAUAUUGGUCAAUGGGCGCAAGCCUGAACCAGCCAUGUCGCGUGCAGGAUGACGGCCCUAUGGGUUGUAAACUGCUUUUUUACAGGAAUAAUUGUCGCUACGUGUAGUGAUUUGAAUGUACUGUAUGAAUAAGGAUCGGCUAACUCCGUGCCAGCAGCCGCGGUAAUACAAGGGC